rnacentral:lncRNA from 1 species
CUCUUCCCAGUUCUGUGACACACAGUGUUGCUAUAGUUAUGUGAUUAUAUAUGUUCAUGUCUCAGUCCUGAUCCUCAGUAUAGUAGAAACUUCUCCAAAGAGACUACUUGCUUUUCAAUUUUGGUCGUGGUAAACUUUUAAAAAUGGGAAAUAUUUGUUUGUGUAAAGAUAUCAUCCAGACGAUAGUCCCAGAUGAAGGGACUGUCCCGAGAGAAGAGUUGGCCUUGCCAGGGAAGGUAAGUUGGCCUUCACAUUUUCCAAGGUAUUUCCAAGGGUCUUUACAAUCCCUCUAUUUUUAGUAGAUGCCAUAUUGUAAUAAUAAAAGCAAUCAUGUAUACCCA